CAAAAGGUGUUUUUUAACACCAUCCAAAAAAACAAAGUUUUUUAA
rfam:Dictyostelium discoideum AX4 chromosome 4, whole genome shotgun sequence.